AGGCUUUGGGUGAUGUGGAAGGGACAGAGACCCUGAACUCUUCCUCUUUCAUACCAACCACAG
ensembl:miRNA Mir7014 microRNA 7014